CCUACGGGGGGCAGCAGUGAGGAAUAUUGGUCAAUGGGCGAGAGCCUGAACCAGCCAAGCCGCGUGAAGGAUGACGGCCCUACGGGUUGUAAACUUCUUUUGUCAGGGAGCAAUAGAGUCCACGUGUGGGCUUAGCGCGUGUACCUGACGAACAAGCAUCGGCAAACUCCGUGCCAGCAGCCGCGGUAGUACGGAGGAUGCGGGCGUUAUCCGGUUUUAUUGGGUUAAAGGGGUGCGUAGGCGGAAUAUCAAGUCAGCGGUAAAAAUUCGGGGCUAAACCCCGUCGUGCAGUGGAAACUGAUGUUCUUGAGUGGGCGAGAGGUAUGCGGAAUGCGUGGUGUAGCGGUGAAAUGCAUAGAUAUAACGAAGAACUCCGAUUGCGAAGGCAGCAUACCGGCGCCCAACUGACGCUGAAGCACGAAAGCGUGGGUAUCGAACAGGAUUAGAUACCCUGGUAGUC
rnacentral:rRNA from 1 species